rnacentral:rRNA from 1 species
GACGAACGCUGGCGGCGUGCUUAACACAUGCAAGUCGAACGGAAAGGCCCUGCUUUUGUGGGGUGCUCGAGUGGCGAAAGGGUGAGUAACACGUGAGUAACCUGCCCUUGACUUUGGGAUAACUUCAGGAAACUGGGGCUAAUACCGGAUAGGAGCCCCUGCUGCAUGGUGGGGGUUGGAAAGUUUCGGCGGUUGGGGAUGGACUCGCGGCUUAUCAGCUUGUUGGUGGGGUAGUGGCUUACCAAGGCUUUGACGGGUAGCCGGCCUGAGAGGGUGACCGGCCACAUUGGGACUGAGAUACGGCCCAGACUCCUACGGGAGGCAGCAGUGGGGAAUAUUGCACAAUGGGCGGAAGCCUGAUGCAGCAACGCCGCGUGCGGGAUGACGGCCUUCGGGUUGUAAACCGCUUUCGCCUGUGACGAAGCGUGAGUGACGGUAAUGGGUAAAGAAGCACCGGCUAACUACGUG